AUCAUAUUAAAGUAUUAUCUAACUCUGAUUUUAUGAGAUAAUUAUUUUUGUCUUAUAUACUUACACUUGGCUCAAUUAAGCCACAAAGGCACAAGUUCAGUGGGACACUGAGGGAGCAGUUGUAUUCUGAAGUAAAGCUUCAACUUCAGUCCAUGGAAAUAAUGGGCUUGUUUUGGCCUUUUUCUUUCUUUGGGUUUUUGGUUUGGGUUUUUUUUUUUUUUUUUCUUUUUUCUUUUUCUUCUCUUUUUUAGAUCCAGUAAAAAUGAAGACUACAAGGAGAUUGAAGAGUUUAUAACAAGAAGUGUUCCUGUAGUCUAUAGAGAUGUCUCAGUCUACAGUCCAGCCAGCAAAUUAUUUCCUGUGAAGCCUAUGUGUGUCUGAACUGGCAAGAGAUCAAGCUGUUCAAUUGAAUUUAGCUGCAUUUAACAUGACCAUUUAUAGCAGAUCUGAUGCUGGGUAGUACUAUGUGCUAUGGUCAAAAUAGAUAUUAAAGCAGUGAUUCCAGAGGCUGGCUCCUCUCCUAUGUACAAUCUGUAGUUAUAUUUUAACAUUAUGCUAUUUUAUGUAAACUACCAAUACUAUAUAGUAUUACAAUGUCCUGUUGUCUCCAAGGAUUCCUAAUAUUUUUGUGCUGCAAUGAAAUUCUAUAAAACAAAGAGAAAAAUGAUGCUAUAUUUACAAUCAAGAGAACAUAUCAAUGCCUGUUGUUUGGUAGCAUAAUGAAACUGCUAAUUCAGGGUUUAAUUUUGCCAUUACAAAUAGAGUGGAUAUAUAUUAUUACUGUGUGAUGAUGAUGCAAGAAAUAGCUUAUUCUUGACUGAGAUUUAUACAUCUGUACUUUUUAUUUAUUCUGAAAAAAGAGAGAUAGGUUUGCUAUAUAUAUUCGUAAAGUUACAUGCUUUAAUAUUUUCUUGAAAACAGCUUAAUCUUUAAUAAUUCCAAGCACUCAUAGUCUAUCCUGUCUGUUCUCCCUCCCUCUCCUUCUUCAGAGAGAGAAAUAAAUACAUCUUUGUGUGUACUGCACAUAUAUGUAUGAAAAAUAAACUUCCUCUGUAGCAAGUAAACCCAAGAACAAUGUUGCUAGCAGCUGUUGUGCUUAAAGCCCAGUGCAGAACACUGGUCCGUUAUGAGCUUUCAAUGCUCUUCUCAACAUUAGUAAUCGACGUGCCAGUACAAUAUAUUGUAAAUUCAAAUGCCGAGGCCAGGAGACCACAAAAGCUCCUCUGUCUGAACAGAAAAGUCUUUCACAGUGCUGCAGAAUAUGCUGGCAGACUGCAUCAGUUCAGAGCCCACAGUGUUCCAGAAGAUGGUUAUGUACAAGGAGGACAAAUCUUGUCUAAUCCUUGAUUAAGUAGCUACUAUAACUGUUACUUUUAAAAAAUGAGAAGAAUCAUAUGUAUGUCUCAAAUACAACCAUCAGAUAAUUACAGGCUGCCCAGUGGCUGCAUGAAGCGCAGUAGCUGAAGAACAGAAAAGGUCUUGUGUUCCUUCAGCAGGAGAGGACAUCCUACCCACUCUCACAAACAUAAAGUAAGACCUAUCUUUUAAAAACAGACAUACACCUAUUUCCUCCUGGUUUAUCAAAUACUCUCAUAGACAAUCAUUUUUGCAAGCAGAAAGUUACAAAGCCAAAGAGUUUUAUAGCAACAAUGGUAGUUUUUCUUAAAGGUGAAAUCCCAAGGUAACAAGCACCCAGUCCCAUGAUUUUCACUCACAUUUGUACAUUUGAAGGUGUUGGGAAGAGUUAAUGCUACAUUGGGUAAAAUAGCAUCAAAGUGAAACCAAAUAACUUCUCAUUGCAUGGUCCAUCUAAA